GACAGAGGGUGCAAACGUUGUUCGGAAUUACUGGGCGUAAAGCGAGUGUAGGCGGUCUCGUAAGUCGGAUGUGAAAGCCCCGGGCUCAACCCGGGAAGUGCACUCGAUACUGCGAGGCUAGAGUACUGGAGAGGUUGGUGGAAUUCUCGGUGUAGAGGUGAAAUUCGUAGAUAUCGAGAGGAACACCGGUGGCGAAGGCGGCCAACUGGACAGAUACUGACGCUGAGGUGCGAAAGCGUGGGGAGCAAACAGG
rnacentral:rRNA from 1 species